UAGAGGAAUUGCGAGCUCCUGGCGCGGCCCGACCCAGCGACCUGGCCUGAAGCAAAGGGCCGGAAGCUGGGAAGGGCCGGGAGAGACCUGGGCUUGGCAGAGGAAGGCAGGGGCGCGGCGAGGGUGCUCCGAGGGCGGAGAAGGGACGCCGAGAGAGCACCCCCUCUGACAGGUCCUUGGGAAGCCGGCUCUCCCUCAGCCCAGGAUCCAGCAGGGGCAGCGUAUAUCCCUCUGCCUCCUGGAAUCCUCCCUCUGCCGCUUGCUCAUCUAGCAAAUUCCAUCCAUCUUUGAAGCCCAGCUCAGCGGUCACCUUCCCAGAGACUCCCUCAGAUGAGGAAACUAAGGUGCAGAGAGGAGAGGUAAACUGCCCAAGGUCAAGGAGCCAGAAUUCAAAGCUGAGUCCAUGCUCUGAACCACUCUGCUCUAUUGGAUCCAAUUCCUCGAAUCCAGAUUAAUUUAUCAUUUUUCUUUGAUAAAUUUAGCUGCAAUGACAGUCUCAUGAUUGACUAAAAAGCCUGAAAAUGAAUCACUGUUUCUGUAGCUCUGACCACAAAUUGCUCCCCGAAGUGAACAUGGGAGCAACUGGGGCCUGCGCCAUUUACCCUUAUGUUGGAGGUGCUGCAUUUUGCUCCACUCGCUUCAGCAGCGUCCCCUUCCUACAUGUAGCUGCUUCUAAUGUAGCUGAUGCUCAAAUCCCUCCGGGUUCUUAUUCUCAUCAACUGAAUGAACCAAACCUCAGCACCAUGUCAGUUUGAGCUGAAAGUUAAAACAGUUUAUUAGUUAAGAAGAUCCAAUGCAUCAGGACAGGCAGCCUCCUUGGGACAACAGCCAGAGCCCUUUCUGAUCUUUGUUCUCCUGGGCAGUUGAACAGUGCUCGAGAAGAGCAAAGGAAAGGCAGCUUAGAUCAGCCUGUGGAUCGGUGUGUGGAGCCAUUGAAAUGAAUUGCGUUACAGCUAAGCCAGUUUAUGCUUCUGUUGCAUUCACCUGAGUGCAAAGUGGACCUCUAUUACGCCAGCACCCUUCAGGGACUUUGAACUCGUUCAUCUGGAGGCAGUACACUUUAUUCCCAUCUGCUUUUGCCCAGGUCUGGGCAUAUUCUUGUAAAUGAUGAUUGUGAUAAUGAUAUUGAUAUUGGUAAUGAUCGUGAUAGCCGCUAACCCUAUUCUUCUCUUCUCAUGCAGAAUAAAUCGUAAGUUUUAUAAUUUAGCACACCAAGUGCAAGGAUCCAAAACUCAAAUGCGUUUGUGGGAUAGUCUGAAAAUUUUAUUUUAUAUCAAUGAGAGUGAAAAACAUUGUUUUGUUUGUUUCCUGGAAGAUGAUGAUACUUAAAUUUACAUAUGCAUCUAGUCUUCAUUUGGUAUUGAAAUAAAUUUCUCAAUUUGUAAUUAGUCUAGAAGUGUCACUGACCUGCAGCAUACUUGUAUUUUGGGGUACCCCUCAAAAUUCCUUCCCAAGCCAGCUAGUUCGUUGCCUUAAUAUUGUAGAACUCUUGACAAGAAUUUUUUUUAAAAAACAAGAAGCCUUGCUCUUUCACUCAGGAAGAAAUCUAUGAAGAACAUGGCUCAUCUUCACUGUUAAGUUCUAGUUAUCUCCCUUUAGAUGUUUUUGUCAGUUUAAUCCACCUUCAUUCAUUCAUCCAUCUCCAUUCAUUUAACAAGCAUUUGAGUCCCUAGUAGUCCUUGGGGCUAGAGAGUUGAUCAAGACAGAAAAGGUCCCUGCUCACAUGGAACUUACAGGCAGUGGUGAAGGGUAGAAAUUUGUUAAAAAGGGAAAGGAAACAUAAAUAAGGUGUUGCAGAGAGUGAUAGAACGACCUGGGAAGGCUUCUUGGAGGGGAUGUUCUUUGAGCUGAGUCCUGACCAACAGGAAGGAGCCAGCCUGGGAAAAGAAGCCCAUGCAGAGGGACAGCAAGUGCAAAGGUCCUGCAGCAGGGACAGGCAUGCUAUGUGUCAGGCACGGAAGGAAGGUCAGUGAGCAGAGUGGUGUCCACGGAAGGACAGGAGAUGGUGGUGGAGAGGAGUCAAGAGUGAGCUCUUUAAUAUUUAUAGCAAAACAGCACAGCUUACAAUGCUCUGAGAUUCAGCAUUCAAGUGAUGCUCAUAUCUCAUUUAUUUUGUGAGGAAUAUGAUUAUUCUGUGUUUGGAGGAAGUCUUACACACAGCUGAAAGACUGAAUUUUUGUUUUCAAUUUUUUUUUUUACUUGAAAAACAUAAAAACUUCAGCUGAUUUCCUUAAAGUAAUCUGAAAACUUUUACUUUGCCUCUGUCUCUACUUUGUCCAUUAAUUAAAGAGAGCAUAAUUGAUUUACUUUCUUUCAUGCAUGGAAAGUUGCUGUUGAUACAAAAUUACUGUUAUUAGAACAAAUUGUUAAACGCUACCCUUUAAUUUUGAGAAUUACACAAGAUGCAGGGAUGUGCAAAGAUGAUGCAGAGUCUACAAUCCACUAUUAUAUAAAGAUAAUUCUCUUUUCUUCUACCCUUUUUCCAUCUAAAAUUAAUUUGGAGCUGGAAGCACAAAGGCAGUGCAUUCACUUUGAAGUUGAAUUGGCAGAAGUAAUCCAGGGAGGCAGCGGAGGAAUUCCAGGAGCCAAAGAUGGAACUGGGGUAUAUGUUUGAAGCCAGACAUAAAAGAUAUGAAAUCCCCAUUGCUUAAUAUCAUAACAGGGCCUGGAAUAGGAGAAUUGAGAGAGUAUGUGUGGAAUAUAUUUCUGCUUGUGGAAAUAGUGCAGAAUUUAUUCAUUUAUCCACCCAGCAAAUAUUUGUUAACCCUGUACUAUGUGCCAGGCACUAAGCCAGGUCUGGGGAUCCAUUAAUGAACAAAUUAGACAUUCUCCCCAUAAAGAAAUGACCCCCUUGCAUCCUUAUUUCCAUCUCUUGCUAUUAUAUGAGUAUCUUUUGUAUCAGUGAACGAUGGUGCCCUGAGAUAGUCAUUUUGUUGAGACCAGUGUAAGGCCAUAUCAUGUGGGUAGUGAUAGUCUUUCCCAAAAGAAAGUUGACAUUCCCAAUGUUCAUCAUGCUUGGGAGUUGUUGAAUCCUGAGCCAGGAAAAGAGGAUUUGGAAGGAGCCCCUUUAGCUAGAAAGAGAGGGAAUUCGUUUCUUCUCUUGAUCCCAUGAGAAUGGUGGGCAGAGAGCUUGGUGGGAUGUCAACCCAAUGGCGGACCCUAUAGGUCCUCUGAGAAGCCUGUUAAAGAGAUUCUCUGUGUGCGAGGCCCUCUCCUGGGCCUUUAAUGCAGGCUUGCUGAUGGAGCAGCCUGGUCUCAGCUGGGCUAUGGUGAGCUAGAAGAAGGGUCUGCGUGCAGGCAGAGGUCAGGGCUGUCAAGUGAAAAGCAAGCCUCUCUCUCUAAUCAGCACGGGGCUGACGGAAGCCAUUAGUCAGGUCUCCAGGAGUUCAGUGUCCAGGGCUAGAGGUUUAGCUUCCCUUCCCCAUCUGAGAAAUCUCCUUCCACGUGUUGUUAUUACUGUACAUGUAGGGGAUCCAGCUGGUUUCCUUCAGAUAUCUUCUUGUUACUUCAGAUCUAGGUGUUAGUUACAGUAAUUCUGUAUCCAGUUUAGGUCCUAUCUAAAGACUACAGAAAAUUUACCCUCUGGACAGCAAACAGGGAGUCUAAGGCCAUUUUCAUGAUUGCCCGACAGGCAAAAAUAAUAUGCAAGUGAUGUGUGAAAGGUCAGUGCUCUUAAGAGCCUAAAGCAAGUUGCUUUCAAAUGUCAGUUAUUAUGUGAGGAGCUGGGAGAUCAUAGGUGUGAACACCACCCUCAGUGGAACUGUCAUUUUAAAUUAAAACUUUCAACUUGGCUGAGUAUGACAUCCCAUAACCACCCAGUGAUUUUUACUAUCACCAAAGCAUUAGAAGGCUGGCCCUGAAGCUCCUCUUCCACCUGGCACGGGUGCAAACCUGGGCUCUAGCUUCCGAGCUUGGUGCCCACAUGAUAGCAGAGAGCAGUGGAGGAAGGACGCCACCUCCUCUCUCUGUGGUUGGUACCUGUGCAUGGAAGCACCCCAUCACCAGAGGUGUCCCAGACAAAGGUCAUGUUCUUCAUUAAGGUGAUAAAGUUUCUAAGUUAAAGCGUAUUCAGUCAUGUUGACUUCUCCUUCUCGAGCUAUCAUGUAACUUUUUAUUUACCGAAUGAUCGACCAUUGUUUGUACUGUUUGAGAUCUCUCGAAUUCUCAGAGCCAGCUUUUUCUUCCCCAGUGAAUGUCAGGCAUAUGUUAAAGAAACUUCAGAAAUUACAAUGCAUGUAUUACAAAUGGAUAGGGAUGAGAACCCCCCUCCUUUCUUUCUGAGAAUAAAAAGAAUACAACUAAAUGUAUGUCUGUUUGAGUUAAGGACUGAAGAGUUAAGGACUGAAAAGUUGUGUGUUUAUUUUUUUUCCUAACCAGGUGAAAACUUUUUCAUUUUCUUUUUUUGGCCACACCACGAGGCAUGUGGGAUCUUAGUUUCCGGACCAGGGAUCAAACCCCCGUCCCCUGCAUUGGAAGGGCAGAGUCUUAACCACUGGACUGCCAGGGAAGUCUGAAAACUUUUUUUUCUUUUAAACCAAGUGUUAAGAGGCAGUUCAGCCUGAUGGAUACGGUAAUGAAUGAAGUUAAGAUUCCAAUCCCAAUAGUGGAAUAUUGAGAAAGUCAUCAUUCUAACCGUUCAAUUUGCUCUCCUUUAAGGAGGGAGUAACCUUCACAUGAUUUUGUGGCAAAAAGUUAAAGUGGUUCGUGCAAAACUUAAUUGUUUGCUAAAAGGAUUCCUAGAAGACCAAGACAUUUAGUAUUAGCACAACUAGACUUAAACAUGCCCCUCUUUGACUUUUAAAACAGAAAAAGGAAGACGUGUUCUCACAAAAGCUGUUACAAAGCAGUUUCCCAUUCCGAGAAUCUCUAAGGGGAGACUCAGCACUGCAAGGUGAAGACACGCGUUUGUACAAUUUUCCAACGUCAGCUCCAGAGUUUCUCUCUUUUUGAUAAGGGAUCAAAC